rnacentral:rRNA from 1 species
GGUGAGUAACACGUGGGCAAUCUGCCCUGCACUCUGGGACAAGCCCUGGAAACGGGGUCUAAUACCGGAUAUGACCGUCUGCCGCAUGGUGGAUGGUGUAAAGCUCCGGCGGUGCAGGAUGAGCCCGCGGCCUAUCAGCUUGUUGGUGAGGUAGUGGCUCACCAAGGCGACGACGGGUAGCCGGCCUGAGAGGGCGACCGGCCACACUGGGACUGAGACACGGCCCAGACUCCUACGGGAGGCAGCAGUGGGGAAUAUUGCACAAUGGGCGAAAGCCUGAUGCAGCGACGCCGCGUGAGGGAUGACGGCCUUCGGGUUGUAAACCUCUUUCAGCAGGGAAGAAGCGAAAGUGACGGUACCUGCAGAAGAAGCGCCGGCUAACUACGUGCCAGCAGCCGCGGUAAUACGUAGGGCGCAAGCGUUGUCCGGAAUUAUUGGGCGUAAAGAGCUCGUAGGCGGCUUGUCACGUCGGUUGUGAAAGCCCGGGGCUUAACCCCGGGUCUGCAGUCGAUACGGGCAGGCUAGAGUUCGGUAGGGGAGAUCGGAAUUCCUGGUGUAGCGGUGAAAUGCGCAGAUAUCAGGAGGAACACCGGUGGCGAAGGCGGAUCUCUGGGCCGAUACUGACGCUGAGGAGCGAAAGCGUGGGGAGCGAACAGGAUUAGAUACCCUGGGUAGUCCAC